rnacentral:rRNA from 1 species
UCAGGACGAACGCUGGCGGCGUGCUUAACACAUGCAAGUCGAACGGGAUCCAUCAAGCUUGCUUGGUGGUGAGAGUGGCGAACGGGUGAGUAAUGCGUGACCGACCUGCCCCAUACACCGGAAUAGCUCCUGGAAACGGGUGGUAAUGCCGGAUGCUCCAGUUGAUCGCAUGGUCUUCUGGGAAAGCUUUCGCGGUAUGGGAUGGGGUCGCGUCCUAUCAGCUUGACGGCGGGGUAACGGCCCACCGUGGCUUCGACGGGUAGCCGGCCUGAGAGGGCGACCGGCCACAUUGGGACUGAGAUACGGCCCAGACUCCUACGGGAGGCAGCAGUAGG